CUUUUGUACUAGGGGCGCCACUAUGCGUGGCUGAGAAGCACCCUUUGAACCUGAUCUGGUUAACACCAGCGUAGGAAAGUGCCAUACUGAUUGU
rnacentral:ncRNA from 1 species